ACUGCUCCGUUCCUCUUCCCAAUCGUCUUCUCUACUAAAAUUGCAGCCAAACUCUCUAGCAGAAUUCGAUCCGAAAUCGAAGAAGGGGAGUCCACGAUCUCCACUAACGGGGUAGCUGACCAGCCUUCCAUUUGCUUUUAAAGGCCCAGACAAAGCACCAGAACAAUACCAUAGAUCUCCAUCUCCCUCCUUUCCCCUUCGUCUGGAUCCACAAACUGGUGAGGUCUCGCGGCGCUACUUGCAAGCCAUUCCGGCGAACUCCGCCAGGAGAUGCAGGCCGGUGCACACCGCGAGAAGCACGUCCCGCGCAGCAGGAGACUGGCCCCGCUUACCUGAUCAAAGAAGGUUCGUUCGCGUGUUCGUUGUAAGUUGGAGACUUGGAGAGGCUAUCCGUCCUCUCAGCCUAGUGAGUGGAAUCGUCAUGAACUCUGCAUCCAGGGAGGGUCCUGUUUAUAUUCUCUUUUCAGAUCAGCUGGUAGGAGUCUAUCUGGAGAUCCCGAACUUGAGUUCAUACUUUCAAGUUCUGAUUCUCGGUCAACUGGUCAAGUUUGUUUAUUCUGAAGUGUAGAUUCAAUUCUGACCCCAGCUCUCAGUAACUGGUCAAGUUUGUUUAAACAGCUUCGUGGAGAUAUGGCCGAUUGAGUAGGCCCGUCAGCCUUCAUACUCGGGAGAUGGUCAUCAUGGGAAUAAUCUAAGUCUGUUGUUGAAGCCAUCAAACCACGUCCGGUAAUUCCACAGUUCCUACAUUAUUUCUGUAACUAGAAGAACAACCAUUCUACGCGUCAUCUCCUAAUAAGGUCAAGACUAAAAGGAGGCGAUGCCUCCCAUUCAAAUUCUCAUAUAGGCACAUUUAGUUUUGAGGCGAAGUCUAAAAGAAGGCGAUGGCCAAUAUAGGCCAGCCAAAAUGAAGUUUAAGCGUAUCUGCUGGCUAUGCAUUUCUCAAGCAUGUUUUCUUCUAUAAGUGUAUAUACAAAGUUAAUGGGGAACGUAGCCCAUGAAAGUGCUAUAGGGAAAUUCCAACUAUA